UAAAACCUAUUUAUAAUGGCGGCAUUUCAUCUUAUUAGAGGAACCUGUUUUUUAAUCGAUAAUCCACGUUAAUUUUCACUUCAAUUAAAAAUUUAUAUACCGCCAUCUAAAAAACUAAUUCAAUGAUAAUAUUUUAAAUAAAAACUAAAAAGUUAGGUCAAGGUGUAAUCUACAUUAAAGUAAAUAAUGGGUUACAUUAAAUAUAAUUUAAGGAUUUCCUUAUUAAAAUAUUCUUCGAAAAAGGAUUUAAAUGUAAUAAUAUAAUAAUAUUUUAUUAUA
rnacentral:rRNA from 1 species